rnacentral:rRNA from 1 species
UACGGAAGGCAGCAGUAGGGAAUAUUGGGCAAUGGCCGAGAGGCUGACCCAGCCAUGCCGCGUGCAGGAUGAAGGCUUUUCUGAGUCGUAAACUGCUUUUGCCAGGGAAGAAAAAAGGGCGUGCGCGCUCUACUGACGGUACCUGGUGAAUAAGCACCGGCUAACUCCGUGCCAGCAGCCGCGGUAAUACGGAGGGUGCAAGCGUUGUCCGGAUUUAUUGGGUUUAAAGGGUGCGUAGGCGGCCGUUUUAAGUCUGGGGUGAAAGCCCGUUGCUCAACAACGGAACUGCCCUGGAAACUGGAUGGCUUGAGUACAGACGAGGGUGCGGAAUGGAUGCUGUAGCGGUGAAAUGCAUAGAUAGCAUCCAGAACCCCGAUUGCGAAGGCAGCUGCCUAGACUGUAACUGACGCUGAGGCACGAAAGCGUGGGGAGCGAACAGGAUUAGGAAUAACC